CUUUAGAAUCAGUCCUAGCAGAAAUAGAUAACCAAAAAAUCUAUGAGAAACAAUUCCAUACAGUAUGCCCCCCAAAUGAAACGACACUGGCUUCCUGGGAGAGGUGGGAGACAUGGAGACGGGAGCACACACCAUAACGACUACCUACCACAUCCCUCCUGUAACACAGAGUGACUGGGAGAGAGAAAAUAUGGAGGGCUGGGUAUAUAGAUAGAGGAUACUGGUCUAGACACAACGAG